CUAGAGUUCUUUAUGGCAGACCCCCGAAAGGCUCCCACGAAAGCAAAACCAAAAGUCUUCGUCAAGACCCGAGUCAACCCUCCAAAUCGACGAUUGGGUCUGCCAAAGCGUCGAUUUGAGGAGAAGAUCAUCAGAGUCUGGCAAACUGCGACUUCUCCCUCAAACUCGUCGGUUUCAACCCAAAUCGCCGAUUUAGGAGAGUUACUCGCGUCCAGCCUGAGGGUCAUAAUGACUGCAAUUAUGAUCCAGGCACGAUCUCCAUCGCAAAUGAUGCCUCUCGAGGCCCUAUAAAAGGGAACCUCAAGAGCACGUCAAAGGCAUCAGUUCCACACCCUUCCACUGCGAUAUUUAUGGAGCAAAUCGUCGAUUUCCUCCCCUGAAGACUUGACGUAGAGCGCACGUCGUGAAUCUCAGAGCCUCAGACACGAGAAAACGACCGCUCGCACCACCGCGAGCGCUGGUAGGAUAUUUCGGUCAUCAUCAUAUACCAUAGCCAAUUUUGAAAGUACAAAGACCAUAACCUAAAAAAUAAUUAUUUAGGGUUUAAAGCAAAGUAAAUUAUAUAUUUUACACUAUCUUGUAAAUCUCAAG
rnacentral:lncRNA from 1 species